AUAAACUAUUGAUUUUAUUAACAGAGAAUGACAUUUGUAAUCUCGGGGUCGCGGGUUCGAAUCCUGCUGCCGGCACCA
rnacentral:tRNA from 1 species